GGGGUUGUGGCUCAGUGGUAGAACGCUUAUCUAGCAUGUGAGAGGCACUGAGUUUGAUACUCAGCACCACA
rnacentral:tRNA from 1 species